CUACGGGAUGCAGCAGUGGGGAAUAUUGCACAAUGGGCGCAAGCCUGAUGCAGCCAUGCCGCGUGUAUGAAGAAGGCCUUCGGGUUGUAAAGUACUUUCAGCGGGGAGGAAGGGAGUAAAGUUAAUACCUUUGCUCAUUGACGUUACCCGCAGAAGAAGCACCGGCUAACUCCGUGCCAGCAGCCGCGGUAAUACGGAGGGUGCAAGCGUAAUCGGAAUUACUGGGCGUAAAGCGCACGCAGGCGGUUUGUUAAGUCAGAUGUGAAAUCCCCGGGCUCAACCUGGGAACUGCAUCUGAUACUGGCAAGCUUGAGUCUCGUAGAGGGGGGUAGAAUUCCAGGUGUAGCGGUGAUAUGCGUAGAGAUCUGGAGGAAUACCGGUGGCGAAGGCGGCCCCCUGGACGAAGACUGACGCUCAGGUGCGAAAGCGUGGGGAGCAAACAGGAUUAGAUACCCUCGUAGUC
rnacentral:rRNA from 1 species